AACGAACGCUGGCGGCAGGCCUAACACAUGCAAGUCGAACGAGAAGCCACCUUCGGGUGGUGGACAGUGGCAGACGGGUGAGUAACGCGUGGGAACGUGCCUUUCGGUUCGGGAUAACCCAGGGAAACUUGGGCUAAUACCGGAUACGCCCUCCGGGGAAAGAUUCAUUGCCGAAAGAUCGGCCCGCGUCGGAUUAGCUAGUUGGUGGGGUAAAAGCCUACCAAGGCGACGAUCCGUAGCUGGUCUGAGAGGANGACCAGCCACACUGGGACUGAGACACGGCCCAGACUCCUACGGGAGGCAGCAGUGGGGAAUAUUGGACAAUGGGCGCAAGCCUGAUCCAGCCAUGCCGCGUGGGUGAAG
rnacentral:rRNA from 1 species